GGAAACUCCAGUGGCCGGAGGCUUGGCGGGGGUCUUGGGCCUCGACCCGGGGCCUCAGUGGCUUGAUAUUUGAGGAUUUCGUAGCCGGGGAAGGGAGUCGUAGGGACACGGAGACUUAACUGUUGCCCCUCUGCGCUUUUGGCUCUGGAUGCUGGCGCCCCGGAGGAUGACCAGAGCGCGGUGUGGGGUUGGGAAAGUAUUUGGAAUUUUAGGGGCUUCUGUGUGUCUAAUCCCUAAGGCGCAUCUGGAUGCGUCUCCCCGACCCCCUCUCCUGAGGUCUGGGAAUUUGGCAGACUGGGGUCGGGCUGGGGCAGAAGAGGCAUUGAGAGUUUAGCUUCCCUGAGGUAACUGGUGAUUAGUUCCUGGAAAGGCAGGAGCUCAGCUGGGCACAAGAGAGUUAAGCAGAGAGCUGGAUCCUCCGGGGCCCUGAUGCACCCUGACGAGGAGUGGUUUUCAGGCAAGGAACUUAUCACAGGAGUGAGUAGUGGCACACGGUGAGUAGUGCUAGCUGUCUUGUCGUUAGGGUGAGGCCGGUGGGAGUUGUGGUUUGGGGAGUGUAGAGGAGGGUUGAUAGGCUACUGAGAUUGGAGAAUCAGCUUUAUGUGGGUCAUGGUGGUGGCAGCCUGGGAGAUGAACAAGGAAACUUUGCAGAGUGGGCUUCCUGAUGGAGAGUGACCUCUUACUGCGUGGGAGUGGGUGACUCAGAUCUGUUAGGAUUCCUGUUGCUUGCUAGGGAUUGUGGCUGACUAUAUUGGUGGCUGAACAUUGAGGUGGAUGCAACUGGAAGGGUUAUGUGGGGCUGGAUGAGUUUGUUCCCACGUAGAGGACAGUGUGGACCUUUCUUACUCCAAGUCAGAGUGGUGACUGUCAUUGACAACAUUUUAAGUAAGGAAUUUCUUUGUGGUAUUUGGAUCCAAAGCUUUUCUCUGUUCAUUUUUUUCUUUCCUCCGUUGUUUUUGAAUUGUGACUCAUACUUUCUUUUCAGCACUGUGGCUAUUUGAAAUGAUAGACAAACUUAGACUUCAUCAUACAUGUAAGUUCCAGGCGUUUUCAGUCCAAUUCUUAUAAAUCUAAAUUUAAAAGCUUCUUUUCACUAAUUUGUGUACCAUUGUUUAAUGUGUGCAACACUAAAGAAGGAUAAGAAAACUCUAACAUUUAUGUUGUUAAAUGGUCUUUCCAUCCUUAAAUCCAUGAAAUUUCAUCUUCUCUUACUGCCAUGAAGUGAGUUCGUUGAAUCUAUUAAAUCUUAGUGACUCUCAUUUCAGCAUCCUUGUUUACUCUCACAGGACAUUGUCUUCACUAGAAGUAUUAUCCAUCUUCAAUGAAUUUGGCCUGUACACUGUCUCCCUGUGACAAUCUAUAUCAUUGAAAGACAGUACGCAAACUCCAACUCUGAGGCCUGCAGCUGUGGGCCGGAGCUCUGUAUGUAUUAUUCAGGCAAAAGUUGGUGUGUUGUCUGUAGGUGAGGUUUAAAGGGAACCCUACAUGAACAAAAACAGUAUCAGAAUCAUUGUACCUUCUGAGUUUAGAGUGGUAGGAAAUAUAGCCUAACUGGAGUCUAGUAUAAACUUUCAAGUGCAAUGUUAGGUAAUUCUGUUUGUAGUUGUACUGAUAGUUCUCAUUAUUGUAAACAUUAUCUUUUUCCUUAAGCUUUAAAUAAUUAUUUUUCUUCAAUGGUAUUCUUUCUUUCUUGGCUGGGUGUGGUGGCUAACGCCUGUAAUCCCAACACUUUGGGAGGUCGAGGCGGGCAUAUCACAUGAGGUCAGGAGAUUGAGCCUGCAUGGCGAAACCCUGUCUCUACUAAAACUACAAAAAUUAGCCGGUGGGGUGGCAUGUGCCUGUAGUCCCAGCUACUCUGGAGGCAGAGGGACAAGAAUCACUUGAAUCUGGGAGGCAGAGGUUACAAUGAGCCGAGAUCGUGCCACUGCACUCCAGCCUCAGCGACAAAGCGAGACUCUGACUCAAAAAAAAAAAAAAAAA
rnacentral:lncRNA from 10 species